GUCCCUGUAGCGCAAUGGAUAGCACGUUGGACUUCUUAUUCACAGAUAGUGGGUAAGAAUCCCACCUGGGAUG